rnacentral:rRNA from 1 species
UACGUAGGGUGCAAGCGUUGUCCGGAAUUAUUGGGCGUAAAGAGCUCGUAGGCGGUCUGUCGCGUCGGAUGUGAAAAUCCAGGGCUCAACCCUGGACCUGCAUUCGAUACGGGCAAGCUAGAAUUCGGUAGGGGAGACUGGAAUUCCUGGUGUAGCGGUGAAAUGCGCAGAUAUCAGGAGGAACACCGGUGGCGAAGGCAGCUCGCUGGGACGUUACUGACGCUGAGACGCGAAAGCGUGGGGAGCAAACAGG